CGCAGCCCCGUCAGAUUCAGUCCCUGCCUCCUCCGUGGCAGGAGCCGGCCAGCCGCCUGCCACAGCAACGGCUGUAGCCCACGGGCCCCGCAUCCCCCCCCUCCCGUGGGACCCUGGGGAUAAAAAAUCGUGCUGCAGACAGCG
rnacentral:snoRNA from 1 species